rnacentral:rRNA from 1 species
UUGAACGCUGGCGGCAGGCCUAACACAUGCAAGUCGAACGGUAACAGGAAACAGCUUGCUGUUUCGCUGACGAGUGGCGGACGGGUGAGUAAUGUCUGGGAAACUGCCUGAUGGAGGGGGAUAACUACUGGAAACGGUAGCUAAUACCGCAUAAUGUCGCAAGACCAAAGAGGGGGACCUUCGGGCCUCUUGCCAUCGGAUGUGCCCAGAUGGGAUUAGCUAGUAGGUGGGGUAACGGCUCACCUAGGCGACGAUCCCUAGCUGGUCUGAGAGGAUGACCAGCCACACUGGAACUGAGACACGGUCCAGACUCCUACGGGAGGCAGCAGUGGGGAAUAUUGCACAAUGGGCGCAAGCCUGAUGCAGCCAUGCCGCGUGUAUGAAGAAGGCCUUCGGGUUGUAAAGUACUUUCAGCGGGGAGGAAGGGAGUAAAGUUAAUACCUUUGCUCAUUGACGUUACCCGCAGAAGAAGCACCGGCUAACUCCGUGCCAGCAGCCGCGGUAAUACGGAGGGUGCAAGCGUUAAUCGGAAUUACUGGGCGUAAAGCGCACGCAGGCGGUUUGUUAAGUCAGAUGUGAAAUCCCCGGGCUCAACCUGGGAACUGCAUCUGAUACUGGCAAGCUUGAGUCUCGUAGAGGGGGGUAGAAUUCCAGGUGUAGCGGUGAAAUGCGUAGAGAUCUGGAGGAAUACCGGUGGCGAAGGCGGCCCCCUGGACGAAGACUGACGCUCAGGUGCGAAAGCGUGGGGAGCAAACAGGAUUAGAUUCCCUGGUAGUCCGCGCCGUAAACGAUGUCGACUUGGAGGUUGUGCCCUUGAGGCGUGGCUUCCGGAGCUAACGCGUUAAGUCGACCGCCUGGGGAGUACGGCCGCAAGGUUAAAACUCAAAUGAAUUGACGGGGGCCCGCACAAGCGGUGGAGCAUGUGGUUUAAUUCGAUGCAACGCGAAGAACCUUACCUGGUCUUGACAUCCACAGAACUUUCCAGAGAUGGAUUGGUGCCUUCGGGAACUGUGAGACAGGUGCUGCAUGGCUGUCGUCAGCUCGUGUUGUGAAAUGUUGGGUUAAGUCCCGCAACGAGCGCAACCCUUAUCCUUUGUUGCCAGCGGUCCGGCCGGGAACUCAAAGGAGACUGCCAGUGAUAAACUGGAGGAAGGUGGGGAUGACGUCAAGUCAUCAUGGCCCUUACGACCAGGGCUACACACGUGCUACAAUGGCGCAUACAAAGAGAAGCGACCUCGCGAGAGCAAGCGGACCUCAUAAAGUGCGUCGUAGUCCGGAUUGGAGUCUGCAACUCGACUCCAUGAAGUCGGAAUCGCUAGUAAUCGUGGAUCAGAAUGCCACGGUGAAUACGUUCCCGGGCCUUGUACACACCGCCCGUCACACCAUGGGAGUGGGUUGCAAAAGAAGUAGGUAGCUUAACCUUCGGGAGGGCGCUUACCACUUUGUGAUUCAUGACUGGGGUG